UCCCAAGUCGAACGAGGGGUUGACGCAAGUUGGCACCUAGUGGCGGAAGGGUUAGUAAUACAUGGGUAACGUACCUUCAACAUCGGGAUAACGGUUGGAAACGAUCGCUAAUACCGGAUGAGGUGAGACAAGGCAUCUUGUUUUUAUCAAAGGGGGGGACCGCAAGGCCUUCUGGUUGAAGAGCGGCUCAUGGGAUAUCAGCUAGUUGGUGUGGUAAAAGCGCACCAAGGCUAAGACGUCUAGGCGGAUUGAGAGAUUGACCGCCAACACUGGGACUGAGACACUGCCCAGACUCCUACGGGAGGCUGCAGUCGAGGAUCAUUCGCAAUGGGCGCAAGCCUGACGAUGCGACGCCGUGUGAACGAAGAAGGCCUUCGGGUUGUAAAGUUCUUUCGCUUGGGAGCAAGAGAGGAUGGCUAACACCCAUCUGAUUUGAUAGUACUAGGUAAAGAAGCACCGGCUAACUCCGUGCCAGCAGCUGCGGUAAUACGGAGGGUGCAAGCAUUAAUCGGAUUGACUGGGCGUAAAGGGCGCGUAGGAGGGAUGGGUAGUCAGAUGUGAAAUACCGACGCUUAACGUCGGAAUUGCAUUUGAUACUCCCAUUCUAGAGGGUGGGCGGAGAAAAUGGAAUUCCACAAGUAGCGGUGAAAUGCGUAGAUAUGUGGAAGAACACCGGUGGCGAAGGCGAUUUUCUAGCUUACUCCUGACUCUGAGGCGCGAAAGCAAGGGGAGCAAACAGGAUUAGAUACCCUGGUAGUCCUUGCCGUAAACGAUGUAUACUAGGUGUAGUCGGACUCAACCCCGGCUGUGCCGGAGCUAACGCGUUAAGUAUACCGCCUGGGGAGUACGCUCGCAAGGGUGAAACUCAAAAGAAUUGACGGGGACCCGCACGAGCAGUGGAGCAUGUGGUUUAAUUCGAUGCAACGCGAAGAACCUUACCCAGGCUUGACAUGCAGAGGACGUCACCAGAGAUGGUGAUUCCCUUCGGGGUCUCUGCACAGGUGCUGCAUGGCUGUCGUCAGCUCGUGCCGUGAGGUGUUGGGUUAAGUCCCGCAACGAGCGCAACCCUUGUCACUAGUUGCCAACAUUUAAAAGAUGGGAACUCUAGUGAGACUGCCUAGGUUAACUAGGAGGAAGGUGAGGAUGACGUCAAGUCCGCAUGGCCCUUAUGUCUGGGGCUACACACGUGCUACAAUGGCCGGUACAGAGGGCAGCGAAACCGAGAGGUGGAGCAAAUCUCAUAAAACCGGUCCCAGUUCAGAUUGUAGUCUGCAACUCGACUACAUGAAGUUGGAAUUGCUAGUAAUGGCGUGUCAGCAAUAACGCCGUGAAUACGUUCCCGGGUCUUGUACACACCGCCCGUCACAUCAUGGGAGUUGGUUUUACCCGAAGUCGCUGACUCAACCGCAAGGGGAGAGGCGCCUAAGGUGAGGCCGAUGACUGGGAUUAAGUCGUAACAAGGUA
rnacentral:rRNA from 1 species